rnacentral:lncRNA from 1 species
GCCCUACCUGUAGGGAUGUCAAUGGGUAUGGAUAUCCGAAAUUUUAUCCAAACCCGAAUCUGAAUGAAAUGGAUAUAUCCGAUACUAAAUGGAUAUGGAUUCAGAUAUGGAUAUCAAAAAUUGAAACCCGACGGAUAUGAAUUCGGAUAUGGAUUUUGACUGUAUCCGACCCGAACCCGAAUAUAGUAGCUAGCCUAAUUCUAUAUAUAUAUAUAAAUUUGACGUCAUAUUUGUUUGUAUUUUAAAAUUUUAGAUUUAAUAUAAUAUAUUUUGAAAUAUUGAAAAAAGAAAUAAUUGUUUCGGGUUCAAAUUUUCGGGUUCGGGUUCGGGUUCGGGUCACAGGUUUGGAAUCGGGUUCGGGUUCAGAUUUUUGAAAAUCUGCCCCGAAUCUGACCCAUUAACAUCUCU